rnacentral:rRNA from 1 species
CAGUCGCCGCGGGAAUACAGAGGGUGCGAGCGUUAAUCGGAUUUACUGGGCGUAAAGCGUGCGUAGGCGGCUUCUUAAGUCGGAUGUGAAAUCCCUGAGCUUAACUUAGGAAUUGCAUUCGAUACUGGGAAGCUAGAGUAUGGGAGAGGAUGGUAGAAUUCCAGGUGUAGCGGUGAAAUGCGUAGAGAUCUGGAGGAAUACCGAUGGCGAAGGCAGCCAUCUGGCCUAAUACUGACGCUGAGGUACGAAAGCAUGGGGAGCAAACAGGAUUAGAGACCCCUGUAGUCCCUGUCUCUUAUAA